GCUCAGUUGGUAGAGUAUAAAGCUCUUAACCUUGUGGACGUGGGUUCGAGCCCCAU
rnacentral:tRNA from 1 species